rnacentral:lncRNA from 1 species
AACCACGUUCCAUUGCUCCUUGAUUUUCAUUUAUUUUAUUAAUUUAUUUUGUGACAAUGACUACCCUUUGAAUUGACUUGGUUUACAGAAGCACAAGAGCAACUUUCUUUGUUCCUAUGUCCUAUGAACUCAGCCUCACUGAUCUCUCAGCCUAAGUCUGAGGAAGGAAAUGUAGAGUCACCUCCCUCUUCUCCUGAAAACUCACAAGAACAACCACAGCAAACAAAUCCAGAGGAGAAACCGCCUGCUCCUAAGACUCAGGAAGAGCCACAGCACUAUAGAGGUCGUCCUCCAAAGAAGAUUUUUCCUUUUUCCAUUCGCCAGAAGAUUUUAGAGAGUACCUGAGAAGAUUAUGACCUUCAGAUGUGUAGGUCAACAAAUCACUGUUGAUUGUCUAUAAUAUUCCAAUAAAAAUUUUCAGCAUGC